GAAUAAGCCACGGCUAACUACGUGCCAGCAGCCGCGGUAAUACGUAGGUGGCAAGCGUUGUCCGGAUUUACUGGGUGUAAAGGGCGUGCAGCCGGGCAUGCAAGUCAGAUGUGAAAUCUCAGGGCUUAACCCUGAAACUGCAUUUGAAACUGUAUGUCUUGAGUGCCGGAGAGGUAAUCGGAAUUCCUUGUGUAGCGGUGAAAUGCGUAGAUAUAAGGAAGAACACCAGUGGCGAAGGCGGAUUACUGGACGGUAACUGACGGUGAGGCGCGAAAGCGUGGGGAGCGAACAGGAUUAGAUACCCUGGUAGUCCACGCUGUAAACGAUGGAUACUAGGUGUGCGGGGACUGACCCCCUGCGUGCCGCAGUUAACACAAUAAGUAUCCCACCUGGGGAGUACGAUCGCAAGGUUGAAACUCAAAGGAAUUGACGGGGGCCCGCACAAGCGGUGGAUUAUGUGGUUUAAUUCGAAGCAACGCGAAGAACCUUACCAGGUCUUGACAUCCUGCUAACGAAGUAGAGAUACAUUAGGUGCCCUUCGGGGAAAGCAGAGACAGGUGGUGCAUGGUUGUCGUCAGCUCGUGUCGUGAGAUGUUGGGUUAAGUCCCGCAACGAGCGCAACCCCUAUUGUUAGUUGCUACGCAAGAGCACUCUAGCGAGACUGCCGUUGACAAAACGGAGGAAGGUGGGGACGACGUCAAAUCAUCAUGCCCCUUAUGACCUGGGCUACACACGUAAUACAAUGGCGGUCAACAAAGGGAUGCGAAGCCGCGAGGCAGAGCGAACCCCAAAAAGCCGUCCCAGUUCGGAUCGCAGGCUGCAACCCGCCUGCGUGAAGUCGGAAUCGCUAGUAAUCGUGGGUCAGCAUACCACGGUGAAUACGUUCCCGGGCCUUGUACACACCGCCCGUCACACCAUGAGAGUCGGGAACACCCGAAGUCCGUAGCCUAACCGCAAGGAGGGCGCGGCCGAAGGUGGGUUCGAUAAUUGGGGUGAAGUCGUAACAAGGUAGCCGUUCGAGAACGAGCGGCUG
rnacentral:rRNA from 1 species